AAAAAAAAUGAAGUUGGGAUUUUUAAUCUCGAACUAUCUGAACAAUGUGGUAUUAAUGAAAUUUGAAUUGGGCUUAAAAAUGGUGUUUUCGUAAGAGAAUAUCGGCUCAAACAACUUUAUAAACUCUAUUAUUAUUUGACUGAAUUAUCAAGUAAAAUUAAUCCAAAUGGGAUUAAAAAAAGUUUAAA
rnacentral:misc_RNA from 1 species